rnacentral:rRNA from 1 species
UCAGACGAUGCGUCAUGCAUAUCAAUAAGCGGAGGAAAAGAAAAUAACAAUGAUUUCCCUAGUAACGGCGAGGUGAACAGGAAAGAGCUCAAAGUUGGAACCUGCCUGACUUAGUUAAGCCGGAUUGUAAACUGUAGAAACGUUUUCUAGGCAAGCCGAGUUAAAAAGUCCUUUGGAACAGGGCAUCAUAGAGGGUGAGAAUCCCGUCUUUGACUCGAGUAUUUUGUCUUUUUAUGAUACGUUUUCCAAGAGUCAGGUUGUUUGGGAAUGCAGCCUAAAUUGGGUGGUAAAUCUCACCUAAAGCUAAAUAUUUGCGAGAGACCGAUAGCGAACAAGUACCGUGAGGGAAAGAUGAAAAGAACUUUGAAAAGAGAGUUAAACAGUACGUGAAAUUGUCAAAAGGGAAGCGUUUGACACCAGUGUUGUUUUCUCGAAAAUCAAUUAAAAAGAGUUAGAUUUUGUUGUGUAUUGACCUUAACAGCUUGCAUUUCAAUUUUCUUGCUUUUUUUAAUGCACUUUUCGUUUAACAAGUCAACAUCAGUUUCUUUUGUUGUAAAAAGGUCAUUGGAAGGUGGCUUUCUUUUCGGAGAAAGUGUUUAUAGCCUUUGACUCCUGCAAUCGAGAGAGACUGAGGUCUGCAGCGUAGAUCCUUCGGGGUUAGAUACAUUUGUGCUAAGUUAUAGCUUUUUAUAGACAACUUGUUGACUAUGAUUAGUCUUGUAGCUUACUCGCUUAUGCUAUUUUACCUACGCUUAGGAUGUUGAGUCGUAGAGCACGCAG